AUUGAACGCUGGCGGCAUGCCUUACACAUGCAAGUCGAACGGUAACGGGCCUUCGGGUGCCGACGAGUGGCGAACGGGUGAGUAAUGUAUCGGAACGUACCUUUCAGUGGGGGAUAACAUAGCGAAAGUUACGCUAAUACCGCAUAUUCUGUGAGCAGGAAAGCAGGGGAUCGCAAGACCUUGCGCUGAUUGAGCGGCCGAUAUCAGAUUAGCUAGUUGGUGAGGUAAAGGCUCACCAAGGCGACGAUCUGUAGCGGGUCUGAGAGGAUGAUCCGCCACACUGGAACUGAGACACGGUCCAGACUCGUCUGUACU
rnacentral:rRNA from 1 species